rnacentral:rRNA from 1 species
GACGAACGCUGGCGGCGUGCUUAACACAUGCAAGUCGAACGAGAGGAGAAGGAAGCUUGCUUCUUUCAAAUCUAGUGGCAAACGGGUGAGUAACACGUAAACAACCUGCCUUCAGGAUGGGGACAACAGACGGAAACGACUGCUAAUACCGAAUACGUUCCUUAGGUCGCAUGACUUUAGGAAGAAAGGGUGGCCUCUACUUGUAAGCUAUCGCUUUACGAUGGGUCUGCGUCUGAUUAGCUAGUUGGUGGGUAACGGCCUACCAAGGCGACGAUCAGUAGCCGGUCUGAGAGGUUGACCGGCCACAUUGGGACUGAGAUACGGCCCAGACUCCUACGGGAGGCAGCAGUGGGGAAUAUUGGGCAAUGGGGGAAACCCUGAUGCAGCGACGCCGCGUGAGCGAAGAAGUAUUCGGUAUGUAAAGCUCUAUCAGCAGGGAAGAAGAAAUGACGGUACCUGACUAAGAAGCCCCGGCUAACUACGUG